UUGAACGCUGGCGGCAGGCCUAACACAUGCAAGUCGAACGGUAACAGGAAGAAGCUUGCUUCUUUGCUGACGAGUGGCGGACGGGUGAGUAAUGUCUGGGAAACUGCCUGAUGGAGGGGGAUAACUACUGGAACGGUAGCUAAUACCGCAUAACGUCGCAAGACCAAAGAGGGGGACCUUCGGGCCUCUUGCCAUCGGAUGUGCCCAGAUGGGAUUAGCUAGUAGGUGGGGUAACGGCUCACCUAGGCGACGAUCCCUAGCUGGUCUGAGAGGAUGACCAGCCACACUGGAACUGAGACACGGUCCAGACUCCUACGGGAGGCAGCAGUGGGGAAUAUUGCACAAUGGGCGCAAGCCUGAUGCAGCCAUGCCGCGUGUAUGAAGAAGGCCUUCGGGUUGUAAAGUACUUUCAGCGGGGAGGAAGGGAGUAAAGUUAAUACCUUUGCUCAUUGACGUUACCCGCAGAAGAAGCACCGGCUAACUCCGUG
rnacentral:rRNA from 1 species